GGAUUAGAUACCCUGGUAGUCCAUGCAGUAAACGAUGGGUGCUAGUCGUCGGACUUUUGUUCGGUGUCGUAGCUAACGCGUUAAGCACCCCGCCUGGGGAGUACGGUCGCAAGAUUAAAACUCAAAUAAAUUGACGGGGACCCGCACAAGCAGUGGAGCAUGUGGUUUAAUUCGACGCAACGCGAAGAACCUUACCAGCGUUUGACAUGGAAAGUGCCGGUUACAGAAUGGUAACCUUCAGUUCGGCUGGCUUUCGCACAGGUGCUGCAUGGCUGUCGUCAGCUCGUGCCG
rnacentral:rRNA from 1 species